AUUCUCACAGUUUAAGGAUGAAAUCGUAAAGAAAAGGGUUUCUAGGUUUCACUACUACAAUCUAAGCCUUUAGCUUCCCUUUUUUCAAUCCAAUUUAUAAAAAGGGAAGCUAAAGGGGGUGAAAAUAUCUGCAUUGACAUUUAGAGGCAGUUUUUUGGUAAAAACUGUAGGUAUAGAAUGUAUAUAUAUCUAUGCCGUCGGUUGGGGGUUGGAAAAAAUCAGGGUUUUUUUAUAUAACCCUAUGGCGUCGGUUAUUAGGUAUUAACUGACGCCAUAGGUGCCACCUUUAUUCGACACGUGGCACCUAUGGCGUCGGUUAAUAACCGACGCCAUAGGGUUAUAUAUCAGACCCUUUCUGCUUCGUCUUCCUCACUUCAUCAUUUCAUACCUUGCUGAGCACGAAGAACAGCCACCCACAGCAGCCCCAAACCCACGAAAAAACCCUCGCCAACCACCACUAAAACAACCUCAUUCUCCCUCAUUUCUUAACCAUUUUACCCCAUUUUUGUCUUAAAAUCUUCUAUUUUCUAUACCUAAACCUAUACUGUAAAAAAGUUUAGUUUUUUUCCCCUCUAUAUACCAAACCGAACCUAUUAUAAAGAAAGGUGGUGGGUAUAACUCCGGCCACCGAUUUUAGCGGAGAAAACGUUGAGUCUCAACGUCCAUUAAGAGGUGGUCGGAUUUUUGUAGCAUUUUAUCGCCGGAUUGCGUUUAUAAGGUAAAUAUUUAUUAACUUGAUAUAUAAUAUAUAUGUAUAUAUUUUGUGUUUUAUUAUUGAAUAUGUGUUUAUAUAUAUCUUGUGUGUAUAUACUAUUUGUGUAUUUUGUGUAUUUGUAUUGUAUAUAUAUUUGUUGUGAAUGAGAAUGAGAGGUAGUAGGAAUUUAAUUAGUUUAGAGAUAAAGUUUUUAAAAUAAUGGCAGUGUGAAUAUAUAAUUGAUUAUAUAUGUAUAUAUAUUUAUAUGUUAUUUUUUUAAAAAUUAACUAUGGAAAUUAGUAACUAGCUAGUAACUUGCUACUUUGUUUAAUAACUAGUAAGUAAUUUAAUAAUUAAAAUUUUAAAUUGGUUGUAUAUUGCAUUAUGUUAUUGGUUGUGUGCUAAUAUUUGAGGGUCGACAUAUUUCGGUGUUGAUCGAAUUUGCAAUAGGUAUAUCCAUCCACUAACCUUUUGUUAGUAUAAAUAAUUAUCAAGGCAUGCUUAGUUGAGUUUGAAUAUCUUAAAUAUUCAUCCGUAGUGAAGUAGGUUCUGCGAAUACAUGUACUGCGUCGGAUGGGUGGAUAAAUUUUGUAUUGUUUAUGUUAGUUUCUUUGUUCUGUAUUGUUAUAUUUGUUUUGUUUGUUACUUUAGGCACUUUUAAAAUUUUUGGGAAUGUUAGGUUAUAAUAAACCUAUAUUUCGGGUCUUUAAAGUUAGCAUUAUCUCGUCUAUUGGUGUCUUUUGGAGCAGUUUUACGCUUGAUUUUCAUUAUUUCAGGUUCCCGGGGUGUUAAAGUUCGAAUUCAGUCAAAUGGCGAAAAACUGGGAUAAACUUAGAAAAAUUGGAAAAUUCGGUUCCAGAAGUGUCAGUAGUCGCGACCUCCAGAGAGCUAGGUCGCGACCCUUUUUCCUGGUCGCGACCCUGGUCGCGACUUCGUAAGUUAGGCAGAAACUCGGUUUUUCGAGUUUUGCCUGUAGUCGCGACCAGCUUAAAUGCUAGUCGCGACUAUGUACGGAAAUCGCAGAUUUGACCUAAUUUUGAUUUUUCACUCAAUUGGAGGCUCACAACUCAUCCCUAUAUUGAAUACGACAUUGAAGGUCAGAUCUAAGCAGAAACAGACCUAAUAGUGGAGGCAAGUGGAGAGGAAGCUAUCUUGAAGACCCGGAGCGAUACCACCUUCUAGUUUCUUUCUUUUACCCUUUUGAUUCAUCUUUAUGUUUGUUUUUAAUUCUGAAUUAAUCAUGGAUGUUUUUAGAGUUAUUAUGAACUAAAUUUCCCAAUAAGGGAGGAUGAUGAUUGUUGUUUAAGUUUAUGCCUAGUUAAUAAAUAAUUGUCAUUCCUUCA